rnacentral:misc_RNA from 1 species
GGAUUACAGAGAUUCAAAGUGAAGUGAGCUUCUCUUUGUCCUCAUCCUGCACAGGUUAGAGAAUAUUAAUUGGAUGCGGGACGGAUUAAAUCAGGUUCGAAAACAAUUACUAUCUCUAUCUUCAAAUAGAAUUAUAAGAAUAAAUAUUAAAUGGAAGCUUACUUACAUUCAAAUAGGAAUAAAGUUUUUACGCUUGUUAAAUUUAAAUAAACCAUAUAAUAGGACUACAUGCACGUGAAUAUUUAGGAUAAAAGUAUUAUGCAUCUAUAGAAAUGGGACUUAAUAAUAAAACUCUAAAAAGGAAAUCUAAAUAACAGAGAAAAAUUCUCUAACAUAAAAGAAAAAUAUUAAAAUAAAAGGAAAUUAUAUAUUAAGGUAGGAGUUAAUAGAUUUAGGACUUUUAUUUCAAUAGAAAUUCUUAAAUAUUUGACAACUUAAAUAAU